GAAAUUCAAAACAGCAACUGACAGGACGUCUGCUCCCAAUGUCAGAGUGGGUCACUGUGUGACUGUGAUGAUCUGGGGGCCACUGGAUAGCUGCUGUAACUUUAAGAACAGGGACAGGAGAUCAGUUUCCUGGUCCAGUAGAACAAAAUCGGAUGAUAAAUAUUCCAG